AGAAGAAAAAGGGUUCAAGCUAGGGUAAGGUUUUUGGUUGUUUUCCUUAUGAUUAAUCUAGUAUUUUGAUUGGGUUGUCUCUAACCUUGUUCAUCUUCUUCUCCAUCUUGAUUAUUCAAAAUAUACAACCCCUAGGGUUUGAGCAAGGAGGUUAUUGGAUUCUUGAUUGGAUUGGAUUCUUGAUUUUCUAUCAAGAAGAGGCUCGUUGAGAGGUUGUGAAAUUUCUUAGCUCGGACCUGAGGUAGCAAAUAGGAUUUCUCUGUGGCACGCGUGGUGACGUGAGGAGUUCUAUCGUCGUAGGGUGUAUGGCGUGGGGUAUCCUAUGGACGGAAUAAACGAUCACUUUAGGACGCCAUUUUAAAUAUGUUAUGUUUUAAGAGACUUUCUAAAUUAUCAGUGGGACUUAAUUAUUUAAUUUUGUUUCUUUUGAACUUUGCAUAAAAACUCAUAUUUUCUUUUUAAACUAAUGGGCCCAACUUGCAUUGUUUUAAGCAAGUCCCCACUGAGACCUUUA